GAGUAGUUUAAAUGGAAAUAAGAAGUACUGGCCUUUUAAUAAUUGUGACUUCUAGCACACACCAGCAAGGAACUCUGUCACCAUCCAAAGCCUGGAUUUCACAACUGCAUUCAUGCGAAAAAUGCAUAACAAGAACUCACUAGAUGCUGAGAAUUUCAGGAUGGAAUAGCUAAAUGGAGGCAUCAUAACACUUCAAUGUCUUCUGGAAACAUCUGGUGCCGAAGAUCCCGGGAAUUCUACAACAUUGCCGGCAUGGAGGAGGUCCCCCGGAAACGGGGCGGGUCCAGAACUGCAGUGGAAAGUUCAGAGAGACAUGCUUAACCGU
rnacentral:lncRNA from 1 species